rnacentral:rRNA from 1 species
UACGUAGGCAGCAAGCGUUGUUCGGAAUUACUGGGCGUAAAGAGUGCGUAGGCGGUGCUCUAAGUCUGUUGUGAAAUCUCCCGGCUUAACUGGGAGGGUGCGGCGGAAACUGGAGUGCUUGAGGGUGGGAGAGGUAAGCGGAAUUCCUGGUGUAGCGGUGAAAUGCGUAGAUAUCAGGAGGAACACCGGUGGCGAAGGCGGGUCUCUGGGCAACAACUGACGCUGAGGAGCGAAAGCGUGGGGAGCGAACAGG